UCCUGUGUUGGUUGCCUAACGUGACGGAAAUUGACCCCGGAUGAGUCCUAACUUUCGCCUCUCACCCCUUCGUGGUGUUAGGUAGACGUGGAGGUACUGCCCAUUUUGCUUGAUUGCUUCACCCUUUCGCGUUGCAAUCAUGUCUCAUGGGUUGCUACUAGUUCCCUCGGAUGCAGAACUUUCGAAUGGUGCACAGCAUGUUGCUGUUGUUUACCCACAAAGCGUUCAUGGCUCGAUGUGUACGACGGUUGUGCCCGUCUUGGUCCCGUCUAAACAUAGUUUGGACGAGGCUCAUGCGGUGCCGGCGUCGCAAAGGAAUGCUACCUGGUUGAUCCUGCCAGUAGUCAUAUGCUUGUCUCAA
rnacentral:misc_RNA from 1 species